rnacentral:rRNA from 1 species
UACGGGGGGGGCAAGCGUUGUUCGGAAUUACUGGGCGUAAAGGGCUCGUAGGCGGCCAACUAAGUCGGAUGUGAAAUCCCCAGGCUUAACCUGGGAACUGCGUCUGAUACUGGAUGGCUUGAGUGUGGGAGAGGGAUGCGGAAUUCCAGGUGUAGCGGUGAAAUGCGUAGAUAUCUGGAGGAAUACCGGUGGCGAAGGCGGCAUCCUGGACCAUAACUGACGCUGAGGCGCGAAAGCUAGGGGAGCAAACGGG